AAGGCAGCCCCCUGGGCUAACACUGACGCUCAUGCACGAAAGCGUGGGGAGCAAACAGGAUUAGAUACCCUGGUAGUCCACGUCCUAAACUAUGUCAACUGGUUGUCGGGGAAGCAAUUCCUUGGUAACGAAGCUAACGCGUGAAGUUGACCGCCUGGGGAGUACGGCCGCAAGGUUAAAACUCAAAGGAAUUGACGGGGACCCGCACAAGCGGUGGAUUAUGUGGAUUAAUUCGAUGCAACGCGAAAAACCUUACCUACCCUUGACAUGCCAGGAACCUCGCAGAGAUGUGAGGGUGCCCGAAAGGGAACCUGGACACAGGUGCUGCAUGGCUGUCAUCAGCUCGUGUCGUGAGAUGUUGGGUUAAGUCCCGCAACGAGCGCAACCCUUGCCAUUAGUUGCCACAUUAAGUUGGGCACUCUAAUGGGACUGCCGGUGACAAACCGGAGGAAGGUGGGGAUGACGUCAAGUCCUCAUGGCCCUUAUGGGUAGGGCUUCACACGUAAUACAAUGGCCGGUACAGAGGGCAGCCAACCCGCGAGGGGGAGCUAAUCCCAGAAAGCCGGUCGUAGUCCGGAUUGCAGUCUGCAACUCGACUGCAUGAAGCCGGAAUCGCUAGUAAUCGCGGAUCAGCAUGUCGCGGUGAAUACGUUCCCGGGUCUUGUACACACCGCCCGUCACACCAUGGGAGUGGGUUCCACCAGAAGUAGUUAGCCUAACCGCAAGGAGGGCGACUACCACGGUGAGAUUCAUGACUGGGGUG
rnacentral:rRNA from 1 species